AUCAACAGAAUGGGUUGAAGAACAUGUUCUUAACUUAGGUGCAAGUGCUGUUGCUUAUCUUAAUGUUGAUUGUGCGGUCCAAGGCUCUGGAUUUUUUGCUGGUGCAACUCCUCAACUAGACAGUGUUCUUGUAGAUGCCUUGAAGCUGGUCCAAGAUCCUGAUGAUGUAACUUUGACAGUUGAAGAGACAUUCAAGUCUCAGAAUAACAAUAUAGAGAGGCUAAGUAGAG